rnacentral:rRNA from 1 species
AUUAGAAGCUUGCUUCUAUGACGUUAGCGGCGGACGGGUGAGUAACACGUGGGCAACCUGCCUGUAAGACUGGGAUAACUCCGGGAAACCGGAGCUAAUACCGGAUAACAUUUUCUCUUGCAUAAGAGAAAAUUGAAAGAUGGUUUCGGCUAUCACUUACAGAUGGGCCCGCGGUGCAUUAGCUAGUUGGUGAGGUAACGGCUCACCAAGGCAACGAUGCAUAGCCGACCUGAGAGGGUGAUCGGCCACACUGGGACUGAGACACGGCCCAGACUCCUACGGGAGGCAGCAGUAGGGAAUCUUCCGCAAUGGACGAAAGUCUGACGGAGCAACGCCGCGUGAGUGAUGAAGGCUUUCGGGUCGUAAAACUCUGUUGUUAGGGAAGAACAAGUACAAGAGUAACUGCUUGUACCUUGACGGUACCUAACCAGAAAGCCACGGCUAACUACGUGCCAGCAGCCGCGGUAAUACGUAGGUGGCAAGCGUUAUCCGGAAUUAUUGGGCGUAAAGCGCGCGCAGGCGGUUUCUUAAGUCUGAUGUGAAAGCCCACGGCUCAACCGUGGAGGGUCAUUGGAAACUGGGGAACUUGAGUGCAGA